rnacentral:rRNA from 1 species
AUUGAACGCUGGCGGCAGGCCUAACACAUGCAAGUCGAGCGGCAGCGACAUAAACAAUCCUUCGGGUGCGUUUGUGGGCGGCGAGCGGCGGACGGGUGAGUAAUGCCUGGGAAUAUGCCCUGAUGUGGGGGAUAACCAUUGGAAACGAUGGCUAAUACCGCAUAAUCUCCUUUCUUUUACGAGAAGGGAGCAAAGAGGGGGACCUUCGGGCCUCUCGCGUCAGGAUUAGCCCAGGUGGGAUUAGCUAGUUGGUGGGGUAACGGCUCACCAAGGCGACGAUCCCUAGCUGGUCUGAGAGGAUGAUCAGCCACACUGGAACUGAGACACGGUCCAGACUCCUACGGGAGCAGCAGUGGGGAAUAUUGCACAAUGGGGGAAACCCUGAUGCAGCCAUGCCGCGUGUGUGAAGAAGGCCUUCGGGUUGUAAAGCACUUUCAGUCGUG